UAAAGAUGGACCCACGCAGCAG
rnacentral:piRNA from 1 species